rnacentral:misc_RNA from 1 species
AACCUCAAUCCCCCAGGGUUCUGCUCUGUUGGGUGAUUGGAUUUGGGCGCUGCCGGCCUGGCCGGCUCGCCUCAAAGGCGUUAGUGGGAACAGCAGACCCGAUCGGCGUAAUAAGUUUCGCUGAGGAGGUCUGGUAGAGCCCGCUCACAACCCUCUCCUUACGGAGAACACUCUUUUGAU